rnacentral:tRNA from 1 species
GGGCCUGUAGCUCAGUUGGGAGAGCGCUGCGUUCGCAAUGCAGAGGUCGGGAGUUCGAGUCUCCCCAGGUCCA